ensembl:miRNA
GGCCGGCCCGCCGGCCGCGCGUGUACGUGGCGGUCGGGCCUCGGUCGGUCGGUCGGUCGGUUCUCUCGCUUGCUCGCU